AAGAUUAAGCCAUGCAUGUCUAAGUAUAAGCAAUUUAUACAGUGAAACUGCGAAUGGCUCAUUAAAUCAGUUAUCGUUUAUUUGAUAGUUCCUUUACUACAUGGUAUAACUGUGGUAAUUCUAGAGCUAAUACAUGCAUUCAAGCCCCGACUUCUGGAAGGGGUGUAUUUAUUAGAUAAAAAUCAACUUUGUUGGUGAAUCAUAAUAACUUCUCGGACCGCAU
rnacentral:rRNA from 1 species